GAAAUAUAUAUAUUUUUUUCAAAAACUUACAUCUUCUCCUUUCCGGCUCUUCCCCCUCUCCCCAAUCUCCACCCCCCCCACCCCCCCAAAAAAAAAUCGCCGGCGUCAUUGGGCAAGAUCCGAGACCGAGAGCUAAGGGAUUAAGCCGCCAAUCUUAACGUUAAUUUUCUCAGGUGAUCCAGUUAGGCGAACAGAUCAGACUUGCAGAUAGAGAGAUCUUUUGUACUGCCCUGUUUAUAGGGUAAGUGUAUUCAGGAGAUUGUAUUUUUGAGUAUAAGAUACUGGAGUGAUGUGUAAAUAUGUAUGUAUGAUUUGGAAACAUUGAAUUCUGGUAUUGUAAAUAUGAGUGUAUGAUUUUAUGUUUUCUGCUGCA